rnacentral:rRNA from 1 species
UACGUAGGUGGCGAGCGUUAUCCGGAAUUAUUGGGCGUAAAGAGCUUGUAGGCGGUUUGUAGCGUCUGCUGUGAAAAUCCGGGGCUCAACCCCGGACUUGCAGUGGGUACGGGCAGACUAGAGUGUGGUAGGGGAGACUGGAAUUCCUGGUGUAGCGGUGAAAUGCGCAGAUAUCAGGAGGAACACCGAUGGCGAAGGCAGGUCUCUGGGCCACUACUGACGCUGAGAAGCGAAAGCAUGGGGAGCGAACAGGAUUAGAUA